rnacentral:rRNA from 1 species
AUGGCAAAAUUCUGGUGGGGGAGUUCUAUUGACAGGAGGUCGCUCCAUUGGAUUGCAUGGGACAAACUCGCUACACCAAAAUGCAAUGGCGGAAUGGGCUUUCGAGACCUUCAGACAUUUAACUUGGCACUGCUAGGAAAGCAUGGUUGGCGCUUCAUGCUAAAUCCGAACUCCCUGUGUGCCAGGGUUAUGAAAGGAAGAUAUUUUCCUGACACGGACUUCAUGCACGCCUCUGUACGGAAAUCCUCCUCGGCGACGUGGAGAGCAAUUGUGGUAGGUCGUGAA